UGAGAGGAGGAUGGCUAGUAAAUAUUUUCAAAAUCAGCAAUAUUCUUGGCCAUUAAUCACCGGAUAUUGAGAAGGUUACAAUAUGCGAUACAAAUUCUUGGUAUUCAAUGGAUACUACAAACAAAAGGAAUGCGAAGAAGCAUUGAGUGUAAAAAGGGAGUCGAGACCACAAUGAGUUUUAUCACACUCACAAUAGCAGUUCUAAAUUCUCCGAGUCUCCUCCGUGUCUUACUAGUUCUCAUUACUUUUGUCAAGAUAACCCAAUGACAACUUGUGGACGGAUCAUGAGGU
rnacentral:lncRNA from 1 species